CAAGGUUUCCGGUGAACCUGCGGAACAAACGUUAAAACCCCCCCCCGUUCCGCAAUCUCUGGUAAAUCAUAGCCCGGAGACUCUGGCUCCGAACAAUGGAACAGUUACAAUCGAGCGGGAUAGCGCUUCACGAUUCCUGUAGGGCAGGAGCUAUGCCAAAUGGGUCCCCAUGCCCCCUAACCCCACAGGUUAAUGUAAAGCUCAAUGUAAUACAUUUGGGGAAAAAACCGAACAACGUAUCUUGGUUCUC
rnacentral:misc_RNA from 1 species